rnacentral:rRNA from 1 species
AUGGGAACGCGAAGAACCUUACCUAGACUUGACAUCUCCUGAAUAGUGUAGAGAUACAUGAAGCCCUUCGGGGCAGGAAGACAGGUGGUGCAUGGUUGUCGUCAGCUCGUGUCGUGAGAUGUUGGGUUAAGUCCCGCAACGAGCGCAACCCUUAUUACUAGUUGCUACCAUUAAGUUGAGCACUCUAGUGAGACUGCCCGGGUUAACCGGGAGGAAGGCGGGGAUGACGUCAAAUCAUCAUGCCCCUUAUGUCUAGGGCAACACACGUGCUACAAUGGUGAGUACAGAUAGAUGCGAUACCGCAAGGUGGAGCCAAACUCUAAAACUCAUCCCAGUUCGGAUUGUAGGCUGCAACUCGCCUACAUGAAGUUGGAGUUGCUAGUAAUCGCGAAUCAGAAUGUCGCGGUGAAUACGUUCCCGGGUCUUGUACAC